rnacentral:lncRNA from 1 species
UGCUUGUAGUGGCCAAUAAAUACUAUAAUAAAGAGUCCGCCUGGGAUACUAUCGAUAGCACCAAGCGUUUGGUGCUCUCAAGUUUUCUGCCGUUAGAUUUAAUCCUUGAGCUAUUUUUACAUGUUAGAUUAUACUAUUAAACUAAUAACUUACUCAAUCCUGGGGGCCCACAUUACUAUAACCGUAUAUUUUUUUCAUUCAAGGACCGAAGACCUAAUAAAUAAAAUUAGAUUACUAUACUAUUAAUAGUACUCAAUUAUCAAUCAUUUUUUGAUUU